rnacentral:rRNA from 1 species
CGGACGGGUGAGUAAUGCUUGGGAAUCUAGCUUAUGGAGGGGGAUAACUACGGGAAACUGUAGCUAAUACCGCGUAGUAUCGGAAGAUGAAAGUGUGGGACCUUCGGGCCACAUGCCAUAGGAUGAGCCCAAGUGGGGUUAGGUAGUUGGUGAGGUAAAGGCUCACCAAGCCGACGAUCUCUAGCUGGUCUGAGAGGAUGACCAGCCACACUGGGACUGAGACACGGCCCAG